AACAAAGUACCAGGGAAAUACGUGAACUGCCUUCAUUUUGUUAUUUUGACGAAUACAAAAGAAUAAAGACAUCCGAGACAGAUGUAAAAUGUUUAACAAACAGUUUUGUCGGCAGCAAGUCUGUAGAAAACGACACUAAACGUCACCAUCGCUCUAUCAACAAUUGCGUUGUUACAAAGAAUAGUCCCCCUUUAAUGUAGUGUUAGCUAUUUCCGAUCUGACUUCAUGGUAUCGUAUGUAUGUCAGUAUUUUAUGCGCAUAAUUAAUUUUAUUACACACAGUAAUUAU
rnacentral:lncRNA from 1 species